UUCGUUGUAGUCUAGUUGGUUAGGAUACUCUGCUCUCACCUGAGACAUUUGGGUUCAAGUCCCGAUAACACAA
rnacentral:tRNA from 1 species